rnacentral:rRNA from 1 species
CAGUCUCUGAAACCGUGCGCCUACAAUCCGUCGGAGCCCUUUUGUGGGGUGACGGCGUGCCUAUCGAAAAAUGAGUCUGCGAGUCAGUGGCAUGUGGCGAGCAUAACCCGUGUGGGGUAUGCGUAGCGAAGGCGAGUCUUAAAAGGCGUUUGAGUCGCGUGUCCUGGACCCGAAGCGGGAUGAUCUAGCCCUGAGCAGGUUGAAGCGCGGGUAAGACCGCGUGGAGGACCGAACCCACCUGGGUUGAAAACCGGGGGGAUGACUUGGGGCUAGGGGUGAAAGGCCAAUCAAAUUCCGUGAUAGCUGGUUCUCUCCGAAAUGCAUUUGGGUGCAGCGUCGGGUCAUUACGUCCCGGGGGUAGAGCUACUGGAUGCUUGCGGGCCCGUAUCGGGUACCAACAGCAACCAAACUCCGAAUACCGGUGACGCGUAUCCCGGCAGUGAGUCGGCGGGGGAUAAGCUUCGUCGUCGAAAGGGAAACAGCCCAGACCGUCGUCUAAGGUCCCGAAGCGUGUGCUAAGUGGGAAAGGAUGUGGAGUCGCAUAGACAGCCAGGAGGUUGGCUCAGAAGCAGCCACCCUUGAAAGAGUGCGUAACAGCUCACUGGUCUAGUGGUUCCGCGCCGACAAUGUAGCGGGGCUCAAGCACACCACCGAAGACGCGGCAGUAUUUUGUACUGGGUAGGAGAGCGUCCCAUGAGGGGCGAAGCGGCCGUGUGAACGCGCCGUGGACUUCAUGGGAGUGAGAAUGCAGACAUGAGUAGCGAGAGACGGGUGAAGAUCCCGUCCGCUGGAUGACCAAGGGUUCCAGGGCCACGUUCAUCGUCCCUGGGUGAGUCGGGUCCUAAGGCGAGGCCGACAGGCGUAGUCGAAUGGAUGAACGGGUCGAUAUUCCCGUACCGGCUUUCAGCCGCCAAAACCGAGGCUUGGAGUACUAACCUCCGGGUCCGGGCUUACUGCUCCUUCGGGGGCGGGAUGCCCUGGCCUGUUGGGACCGAUCCUUGUAGUAGGUCAGCGCAGGAGUGACGCAGAAGGGUAGCCGGCCGCGGAGGUGGUCUUCCGUGGUCAAGCACGCAGGGCGUGGGACAGGCAAAUCCGUCCCGCAUGGGUCCGAGGUGCGAUGAUGGGGGCCUUAUGGCCCGAUAUCCGGUGAUCCCGGCUGCCGAGAAAAGCUUCGGCGUCAGGCUCAAAGCCGCCCGUACCCCAAACCGACACUGGUGGUCAGGUAGAGAAUACCAAAGCGAUCGAGCGAAUCCUGGUCAAGGAACUCGGCAAAUCACUCCCGUUCCUUCGGUUUAAGGGAGACCCCCGAUGGUGAACACACUUGCUGUGGGAGCUUUUGGGGGUGGCACAGACCAGGGGGUAGCGACUGUUUACCAAAAACACAGGUGCAUGCGAAGGCGCAAGCCGCUGUAUAUGCACUGACGCCUGCCCGGUGCCGGAAGGUUAAGAGGAUCCGUCAGCCUUCGGGUGAAGCGGUGAAUUCAAGCCCCGGUAAACGGCGGUGGUAACUAUAACCAUCCUAAGGUAGCGAAAUUCCUUGUCGGGUAAGUUCCGACCUGCACGAAUGGCGUAACGACUUCCCCACUGUCUCGACCAGGAGCUCGGCGAAAUUGCAGUACGAGUAAAGAUGCUCGUUAAGCGCAGAAGGACGAAAAGACCCCGGGACCUUUACUAUACCUUGGUAUUGGCAUUCGGUGUGGAUUGUGUAGCAUAGGCGGGAGGCCGAGAGGCGCGGUCGCCAGAUCGCGCGGAGCCGUAAGGUGAAAUACCGCUCUGUUCGCAUUGGAUGUCUAACCUCGAACAGUCAUCCUGUUCAGGGACAGUGCCUGGCGGGUAGUUUAACUGGGGCGGUUGCCUCCCAAAGAGUAACGGAGGCGCCCAAAGGUCCGCUCAGCCCGGUUGGCAAUCGGGUGGCGAGUGCAAGUGCACAAGCGGGCUUGACUGCGAGGACGACGGUCCGAGCAGGGACGAAAGUCGGGACUAGUGAUCCGGUGCCGGUGUACGGACGCGGCAUCGCUCAACGGAUAAAAGGUACCCCGGGGAUAACAGGCUGAUCAUUCCCAAGAGUCCAUAUCGACGGGAUGGUUUGGCACCUCGAUGUCGGCUCGUCGCAUCCUGGGGCUGGAGCAGGUCCCAAGGGUUCGGCUGUUCGCCGAUUAAAGCGGCACGCGAGCUGGGUUCAGAACGUCGUGAGACAGUUUGGUCUCUAUCCUCUGCGCUCGUUGGAAUGCUGAGGAGGCCUGCCCAUAGUACGAGAGGACCUGGGUGGACGAACCUCUGGUAUGCCGGUUGUCACGCCAGUGGCACGGCCGGUUGGCUACGUUCGGAAGGGAUAACCGCUGAAAGCAUCUAAGCGGGAAGCCUGCUCCAAGAUAAGCAUUCCGUGGAACCUUCGAGUUCCUGUAGUCCCCAUGCAGAACACGUGGUUGAUAGGCCGGACGUGGAAGCCCCGCGAGGGGUGGAGCCGACCGGUACUAACGGACGAAAGGCAACACUAA